rnacentral:rRNA from 1 species
GACGAACGCUGGCGGCGUGCUUAACACAUGCAAGUCGAACGGAAAGGCCCUGCUUGCAGGGUACUCGAGUGGCGAACGGGUGAGUAACACGUGGGUGAUCUGCCCUGCACUUCGGGAUAAGCCUGGGAAACUGGGUCUAAUACCGGAUAGGAGCCAUUUUUAGUGUGAUGGUUGGAAAGUUUUUUCGGUGUAGGAUGAGCUCGCGGCCUAUCAGCUUGUUGUGGGGUAAUGGCCUACCAAGGCGGCGACGGGUAGCCGGCCUGAGAGGGUGGACGGCCACAUUGGGACUGAGAUACGGCCCAGACUCCUACGGGAGGCAGCAGUGGGGAAUAUUGCACAAUGGGCGCAAGCCUGAUGCAGCGACGCCGCGUGGGGGAUGACGGCCUUCGGGUUGUAAACUCCUUUCGCUAGGGACGAAGCUUUUUGUGACGGUACCUAGAGAAGAAGCACCGGCUAACUACGUG